CAGUAGAGUUGUUACGAAAAACAAUAACAACAAAAAAGAUCGCCUUGGCUGCUCUACAGAGAAAGGAUUCUUGAAGGAGGAAAGUGGAAGCAUGUGAUCAAUUAAGAAGCUACUGCAGCCAUCAAGGCAACAGGUUGUAGGGUGGUGCCAUUUACCAUCCUCCAUCAGAGGGAGAAUCGAGUUUGGGACCAAAUGGGAAAAUCUGCACGGAAUCAUGAUCCCAGCCCAGAGAGCUCCCAGGCCAAGGUGCAAUUGCAACCCACCCGGUCCUUUAACCCGAUGUGCCAGGAGGGGAUUGAACCUGUGUCCCAGCACUCCAGAGAUGCUGCUGAUCCUGUUGCACCAUAGGGGAAACUCCAAAAGCUUUUCUUGGCCCAAGCUGCAGGCUCUCAGAAGCUUGACAAACCAGCAUCGCCAUCUGGAGGACAGCAUGAGAAUCUGGGUGGAUAUUAUCCAUUGAAAAUGAUGCGCUCUUCCAUGGAAGGCAAGCCGACAGUGUGUGUGAGGGGCUUUUGAAUCUCUGCUCUGUCACUGACCAUGGAGAACUCGGUUCAUGUGGCUUUCUUUCCUGUAAGAUGAGGAUAACGGUGCCAUCUGACUCGUAGGAUCAUCAUGAAGAUUAAUGAGCUUCCAUUGCCUACUAUCGCUGUAACCAGAGCAACCUGGCUGGCGGGGAAAUAUGGAAACUCCAACUCAUUCUUCUAGAUUCAGGUAAGUCUCCGCCUUUGUCCA